AUUGAACGCUGGCGGCAGGCCUAACACAUGCAAGUCGAGCGGAGCGGCGGACGGGUGAGUAAUGCCUAGGAAUCUGCCUGGUAGUGGGGGAGAACGUCCGGAAACGGGCGCUAAUACAGCAUCCUAUCAGAUGUGCACAGAUGGGAUUAGCUAGUAGGUGGGGUAAAGGCCCAACGAGGCGAAGAUCCCUAGCUGGUCUGAGAGGAUGACCAGCCACACUGGAACGGAUACACGGUCCAGACUGUGACGGGAGGCAGCAGUGGGGAAUAUUGGGCAAUGGGCGCAAGCCUGAGGCAGCCAUGCGGCGUGUAUGAAGAAGGCCUUCGGGUUGUAAAGUACUUUAAGCGGGGAGGCGUGACCCGCAGAAGAAGCACCGGCUAACUUCGUGCCAGCAGCCGCGGUAAUAC
rnacentral:rRNA from 1 species